GUCAGGAUGGCCGAGCGGUCUAAGGCGCCAGACUCAAGAAUGAUAUCUUGAUCCUCUAAAAAGGAUGCUUAGAAUUCUGGUCCUCAACAGAGGGCGUGGGUUCAAAUCCCACUUCUGACA
rfam:Daphnia magna strain Xinb3 scaffold00915, whole genome shotgun sequence.